ACACAGCCCUGGCAGGGGGAAUACCACUAUCAAGAAGGUGGUUUCCCCAGGGCAAAGCUCUUCCAUUGCACACUUUGGUAGGAUUGACCCUGUGAUUUCCCCAAAUGUGGGAAACUCAGCCGCGUAAUUUUGAAUGUUUGAAUUUUAUAAUUAUACUUUACCAAU